CCUACGGGUGGCAGCAGUGGGGAAUAUUGCACAAUGGGGGGAACCCUGAUGCAGCAACGCCGCGUGGGUGAAGAAGUACUCCGGUAUGUAAAGCCCUGUCAGCAGGGAAGAAAAUGACGGUACCUGACCAAGAAGCCCCGGCUAACUACGUGCCAGCAGCCGCGGUAAUACGUAGGGGGCAAGCGUUAUCCGGAUUUACUGGGUGUAAAGGGAGCGUAGACGGCAAGGCAAGUCUGGAGUGAAAGCCCGUGGCCCAACCUGUGGCCUGCAUUUGAAACUGUUUUUCUUGAGUACUGGAGAGGCAGACGGAAUUCCUAGUGUAGCGGUGAAAUGCGUAGAUAUUAGGAGGAACACCAGUGGCGAAGGCGGUCUGCUGGACAGCAACUGACGCUGAGGCGCGAAAGCGUGGGGAGCAAACAGGAUUAGAUACCCGGGUAGUC
rnacentral:rRNA from 1 species